rnacentral:rRNA from 1 species
GUGAGGAAUAUUGCGCAAUGGUGGCAACUCUGACGCAGCCAUGCCGCGUGCAGGAAGAAGGCGCUACGCGUUGUAAACUGCUUUUAACCGGGAAGAAACCCCAGGACGUGUCCUGGGUUGACGGUACCGGAGGAAUAAGCACCGGCUAACUUCGUGCCAGCAGCCGCGGUAAUACGAAGGGUGCAAGCGUUAUCCGGAUUCAUUGGGUUUAAAGGGUGCGUAGGCGGAGCGUUAAGUCAGUGGUGAAAUCCUGCAGCUUAACUGUAGACUUGCCAUUGAUACUGGCGCUCUUGAGUGCGCUUGAAGUGGGCGGAAUGUGCCGUGUAGCGGUGAAAUGCUUAGAUAUGGCACAGAACACCAAUUGCGAAGGCAGCUCACUAAGGCGAUACUGACGCUGAGGCACGAAAGCGUGGGGAUCGAACAGGAUUAGAAACCCGAGUAGUCC